UACAGAUUGAAGUGGACCUUGGUAAAAAGUGCUGGUAUCAUUCAAUAUUUGCCUGUCCCAUUCUUCGUCAGCAAACAACAGAUAAUAAUCCACCUAUGAAAUUAGUCUGUGGUCAUAUUAUAUCAAGAGAUGCUUUGAAUAAAAUGUUUAAUGGCAGCAAAUUAAAAUGCCCCUAUUGUCCAAUGGAACAGAGCCCUGGAGAUGCCAAACAGAUAUUUUUCUGAAGAAAAGUUUCAUUAUGCAGUUUGUAAGUGACACUCUGGAUUUUGGGUGCAUUUCAGGAGAAUUAAAACACACUUGUUCCAUUUUAUGCAGCAAACUGAGGACUCCUAUGUUUGUAUAAGCUAAUGCUACAGAAACUUUGCCAACAUUUAGUAUAUACUACCAAGUGGAAAGCUACAGAAAUAUUAUCAUAGGGCUUUACUAUACUCUUGGUCUCCAUACCUGAUCAAGUUACUACACCAGCAGUUGUCAUUCAAUGCAGGUUUUUUGUACUUAAUUAUAUGGUUGACUUUUUACUUUUUAAAAGCAGAAAUUGAUCACCCCCAUUUGUUUAAUAUUCUUCCUGCUAUUAUUCUAUCAUUCUAUUGAUAACUGUCACCUUAGAGAAUGUUUGUGGAAAAAGUUUUAUUUCCCAUAAUGUGUACAUAAUUAAAGGUAAAUACUUCAGGAAAAAAAAGUUUGAUAAAUCGAAUAGUGGUUAUAAAACUAAUUUGUAUUUUUUUCGCAGAAAAAGCUGUGAUAUAUUCUGAGUUUUUCUUUCAAACAUUUUUUCAACUUUUACAUAGAAUUCAAAGUAAAUGUGCAUAUAUAUAAAGUAUAUAAAAUAUAUAGCCCCAGGGGGCUACCUGUUAAAAUCCAUCACUAAUUUAUAAGGAUGGUGUGUGGCUAAAUUACUACUGGAGCAGAGAGGGAAUAGGAAAUCCUGUUCCUUUUGGUUUCAUAAUUGAGAAGCGUUUGUGUAAGAGAACAUUCAAUAAAUUCUGAAGUGGAAAUGCUUUUAGUCAAUGACAUUUGCUCUCUGGCCUUUGUAGUCACGUUCUUUGAACUUUGUAUUCAGGAUUAGGCUAUAAAUGUCAUGUUGCUGUAUAGUUUAAUAGUCAUUAUAGUGUGCUAUUUAUAAACAGUUACCAAAACCAAAUAAAUUGUAGAAGUAUUCAUUGUUAAAUGGGAGAAAAGCAUGUUCUGAUGCAAUCUGCUGAUCACGACUCUGCACUUGGCAGAACUGGGCCCUACAUCAUAUAUUAGGAGGUAGCGAGUUUUCUGUAGCUUGAGAACACUUUGCUUCUAGCCUUGUUUUUGUAGUGGAAUAUUACUGCCAUUGCCACUUUUUCUGCUAAAUUUGUCAUAUUGUUGACUAGGUAAAUUUGUACUCAUAAACGAGAUGUAGAUCAUGGCAGUUAAAUCUUUUCUAGUGUGCAUAUAUUUGUAUUUAUUGCACUGUCCUAUAGUAGGGCAAGCAGCCAUAAGGCAUGCAAAGCUACAUGUAAAAUUAUAUUUCUGUAUUGCGUAGUUUAAAAAAAAAACAAAAAACAAAACCAAACAAAAAAACCCCAACCCAAGCUUAUAUAGUUGAGUGCUGACACACUGGUUGAAUGCACUAGCACAAUGCACUACAGAGAAGACCGUCUUUGAGAAAUCUGCACCUUUUGAAUUUGUAUGUCACCUGACUUGAGAGACUGAGCUGGACUCUAUUGGAUCAGUGACAAUGGACAUCCCUAAAGAGACAUUAAGAGGAGCAAGUCAAGGCACACAAAUUUUAAACUUUAAAUGUGUUUGAUACAUGUGAAAAAUACAGGUGUGUGAUUUUCUGCAAAACUUAAAUUGUAUUCACACUGAGUUCAAAACAACUGCGUUACCAAGUGGUAAAAUCAACAAUAAACGGGUGAGGAUAUUAUUUUCCAUGUA